ACCUCUGUAGCGCAAUAGAUGGCACAUUGGACUACCAAUCCAAAGGUCGUGCGUUCAAAUUCCACCUGAGAUG